CAGGGAGACAACAAAAUGUUUAAUAUUAUUAUUUUGUCACCUUAGGUCGAUCGGUAUCUCACGUUUUUAAUUUAUUAAAAAUUUCAUUUCCUAAGUUUUUCUAGGUCACACCCAUUAUUUUUCCUGGGCCAUUAGCUCAGGUGGUUAGAGCGCACCCCUGAUAAGGGUGAGGUCCCUGGUUCAAGUCCAGGAUGGCCCAUAUCUCUAUGUUGGGGGUAUAGCUCAGUUGGUAGAGCGCCUGCUUUGCAAGCAGGAUGUCAGCGGUUCGAGUCCGCUUACCUCCACUGAUUACCACCUCUUCCAUAAUCGGUAGAAAGGAAAUGUUUUGAGUUGUGAUCAAAUUCUGAAAAGAAUCUAGCUUCCUAAUGAAAUCAUUAAGAUGCUGGACUCAUUGAAUUAAUUUCAUUGUUUUCAGAGAACCUUGACAACUGCAUAGAUUAUUUUUAAAGACAAUAAGCAUCUUUAAUGAUGCAGAUUUAUUAUUUGUGCGAAUGCAUUAAUAACAAUUCUAUUAAGCUGAUGCUUCAAUUAUUGAAGUUAUU
rnacentral:tRNA from 1 species